rnacentral:rRNA from 1 species
UGGGGAAUUUUCCGCAAUGGGCGAAAGCCUGACGGAGCAAGACCGCGUGGGGGAAGAAGGCUCUUGGGUUGUAAACCCCUUUUCUCUGGGAAGAAAGUUGUGAAAGCAACCUGACGGUACCAGAGGAAUCAGCAUCGGCUAACUCCGUGCCAGCAGCCGCGGUAAGACGGAGGAUGCAAGCGUUAUCCGGAAUGAUUGGGCGUAAAGCGUCCGCAGGUGGCAGUUCAAGUCUGCUGUCAAAGACCGGGGCUUAACUUCGGAAAGGCAGUGGAAACUGAACAGCUAGAGUAUGGUAGGGGCAGAGGGAAUUCCUGGUGUAGCGGUGAAAUGCGUAGAGAUCAGGAAGAACAUCGGUGGCGAAGGCGCUCUGCUGGACCAUAACUGACACUCAGGGACGAAAGCUAGGGGAGCGAAUGGG